rnacentral:rRNA from 1 species
UCACCCUUCCUUGUUCAACCCGCCUAUAUACCACCGUCGUCAGCUUAUCCUGUGAAGGCCUUUUAAUAAGCAAAAUUGGCAAAGCCUAAAACGUCAGGUCGAGGUGUAGCGUACGGAAAGGGAAGCAAUGGGCUACAUUACCUGCCCCAGGUAACCACGGACGAUUUAUUGAAAGAUAAAUCCAAAGGAGGAUUUAGUAGUAAGAGAAGAAUAGAGAGCUUCUCUGAAACCGGCCCUGAAGCGCGCACACACCGCCCGUCACUCUCCCCAAGCUUCUUUUGACUUAAUAAUUAAUAUACUAAUCCUGCUAAGGGGAGGCAAGUCGUAACAUGGUAAGUGUACUGGAAGGUGCACUUGGACAAAC